AACCAUGCACCGAAGCUGCGGCAGCGACACUCAGGUGUUGUUGGGUAGGGGAGCGUUCUGUAAGCCUGCGAAGGUGGCCUGUGAGGGUUGCUGGAGGUAUCAGAAGUGCGAAUGCUGACAUAAGUAACGAUAAAGCGGGUGAAAAGCCCGCUCGCCGGAAGACCAAGGGUUCCUGUCCAACGUUAAUCGGGGCAGGGUGAGUCGACCCCUAAGGCGAGGCCGAAAGGCGUAGUCGAUGGGAAACGGGUUAAUAUUCCCGUACUUGGUGUUACUGCGAAGGGGGGACGGAGAAGGCUAUGUUGGCCGGGCGACGGUUGUCCCGGUUUAAGCGUGUAGGUGUGUGUUCCAGGUAAAUCCGGUUCACUUUAACACUGAGGCGUGAUGACGAGGCACUACGGUGCUGAAGCAACAAAUGCCCUGCUUCCAGGAAAAGCCUCUAAGCAUCAGGUAACAUCAAAUCGUACCCCAAACCGACACAGGUGGUCAGGUAGAGAAUACCAAGGCGCUUGAGAGAACUCGGGUGAAGGAACUAGGCAAAAUGGUGCCGUAACUUCGGGAGAAGGCACGCUGACACGUAGGUGAAGUGAUUUACUCAUGGAGCUGAAGUCAGUCGAAGAUACCAGCUGGCUGCAACUGUUUAUUAAAAACACAGCACUGUGCAAACACGAAAGUGGACGUAUACGGUGUGACGCCUGCCCGGUGCCGGAAGGUUAAUUGAUGGGGUCAGCGCAAGCGAAGCUCCUGAUCGAAGCCCCGGUAAACGGCGGCCGUAACUAUAACGGUCCUAAGGUAGCGAAAUUCCUUGUCGGGUAAGUUCCGACCUGCACGAAUGGCGUAAUGAUGGCCAGGCUGUCUCCACCCGAGACUCAGUGAAAUUGAACUCGCUGUGAAGAUGCAGUGUACCCGCGGCAAGACGGAAAGACCCCGUGAACCUUUACUAUAGCUUGACACUGAACAUUGAGCCUUGAUGUGUAGGAUAGGUGGGAGGCUUUGAAGUGUGGACGCCAGUCUGCAUGGAGCCGACCUUGAAAUACCACCCUUUAAUGUUUGAUGUUCUAACGUGGACCCGUGAUCCGGGUUGCGGACAGUGUCUGGUGGGUAGUUUGACUGGGGCGGUCUCCUCCUAAAGAGUAACGGAGGAGCACGAAGGUUGGCUAAUCCUGGUCGGACAUCAGGAGGUUAGUGCAAUGGCAUAAGCCAGCUUGACUGCGAGCGUGACGGCGCGAGCAGGUGCGAAAGCAGGUCAUAGUGAUCCGGUGGUUCUGAAUGGAAGGGCCAUCGCUCAACGGAUAAAAGGUACUCCGGGGAUAACAGGCUGAUACCGCCCAAGAGUUCAUAUCGACGGCGGUGUUUGGCACCUCGAUGUCGGCUCAUCACAUCCUGGGGCUGAAGUAGGUCCCAAGGGUAUGGCUGUUCGCCAUUUAAAGUGGUACGCGAGCUGGGUUUAGAACGUCGUGAGACAGUUCGGUCCCUAUCUGCCGUGGGCGCUGGAGAACUGAGGGGGGCUGCUCCUAGUACGAGAGGACCGGAGUGGACGCAUCACUGGUGUUCGGGUUGUCAUGCCAAUGGCACUGCCCGGUAGCUAAAUGCGGAAGAGAUAAGUGCUGAAAGCAUCUAAGCACGAAACUUGCCCCGAGAUGAGUUCUCCCUGAGACUUUAGGUCUCCUGAAGGAACGUUGAAGACGACGACGUUGAUAGGCCGGGUGUGUAAGCGCAGCGAUGCGUUGAGCUAACCGGUACUAAUGAACCGUGAGGCUUAACCUUACA
rnacentral:rRNA from 1 species